rnacentral:rRNA from 1 species
UAUUUCCUACGGGGGGCAGCAGUGGGGAAUAUUGGACAAUGGGGGGAACCCUGAUCCAGCGACGCCGCGUGAGAGAAGAAGUAUUUCGGUAUGUAAAGCUCUAUCAGCAGGGAAGAAAGAAAUGACGGUACCUGACUAAGAAGCCCCGGAUAAAUACGUGCCAGCAGCCGCGGUAAUACGUAGGGGGCAAGCGUUAUCCGGAUUUACUGGGUGUAAAGGGAGCGUAGACGGCGAUGCAAGUCUGAAGUGAAAGGCGGGGACCCAACCCCAGGACUGCUUUGGAAACUGUAUAGCUGGAGUGCAGG